AUUUCUUAAUAUUGUUUGUUUUUGUGCAAAUAAAAUACUAGUUUUCUUAAUCAGUAAUCAGGGAAUAAGGGACAAGCUUAUUUAGCUAUUCAGAUUUAUUGUUGUCUUGUAUACCCAUAUUUGUGUAAACGUACAUGAAUUAAUAGCUACAUCAUUCGUCUAUUUCAUCAUUAACUGUGUAGAUUUCUUUAACUAUAACCAUUACAUAGGUGCCCAUAUUUAUGUUCUACUUUGUUAGCGGGCAGAGCACAUUACAGGCAUUAAAAGACAUGACUGAUUCAAUGCUUGGUAUGGCUGGCUGAUUAACCUUAAAUUUAAACAUACUCAACGUUUCAUCUGCACCAGUGUGAAAUUCAACACAAGGGAAAAAAAUACAAGAGUCACUGAGUUAUAU